rnacentral:lncRNA from 14 species
AAAAACGGCCUGGAGCUGACAGCCUCUCUGCCGCUUUAAACCCACUCAGGAACAGCUCCCAAGACGAGACAAAGUGCUGAUGAAUGCCCCGCUAUGUGUAGCAACCCUGCAGAGCCCUCCCCACCACUCUAAACUCAGCGGAUGAAUCACACCAGGAGGCGGCGUAGUCAGCCAGGAGGAGGACUGGAGGAACCUCCCCCGGAAGCGACCCCGCCUUCCCUCUGCGUCUUGGGCCUGCUCUUGGCGCGCCCUCACUGCCUCCGCCAUGGCCAUGCUCUGCGCCACCACCCAGACGCAGUAAUGGCGACUGCACGCGGAAGUGGGGGUAGACUGACUCUGCCCCCACCAGCUCCCUUCCUGUCAGCAGAGCGAAAGUUACCUGAAGGACAAAAGGACGCAACGGACAAUGCAGCCCUGUGAGCCAGGGCCUGGCCGCUUGGCCUGGCCUGAGUGGGGACCUGGAAGUGCCACUGGCGCAGAACAGCCUGUUGUGCAGUGCCUGAGGCAUCUCCAACCACAGCAGGGCUACAGGCUCAGGCUGGGGGACCAGGCAUCACUGAACCUUCUUAUCCCUACCUGGGUGCUCAGCUGCACUAUGGAGCCACCUCUGGAGCUGAGGCCCAGCCCCACUGGAGCAGAAGUGAUUUCAACCAGUCUCCACAUGGAUGAGACCCUGCAGAGCUCAGUCCCUCCUUGCAGAAGACAUUGUCGUAGAGGACCUAAUGAUCUUGAACAGCUGGGAGUAACUGGAAACAUCACCACACUGGCCAGACCAACCGUAUCUUCUGCCUGGAGAACCUACAGACAGGAUCAACAGCAUCUAGUGAUGUAGCCAUCAACUGUGGCAUAAUCAGGCUCACCUGUAACAGCACAAAAAUAUUAGGUCUGCUUGUCAGUAGUGUUCAUUACGAGACUCUACACAGGACAGAAACACUGGCCACCUGUGUUAAAGGGAUGGAAGGCAAUGAUGGAUGAGGCUGAAAAAGAUGUCUUGAUUCUAUGAUUCUAUGAUUUGCUGAACAACCAAAGCAUUUUACAAAGUUCCAUCACUAAAGUGCACUGAGAAUUAUAUAACUCAUGGUGUUGAAUCAGGGAAAGGCCCAAACUGCAGAGACUGGUGGGAUCCCAACCUUGGACAUCAUUAAGCUCCAUAUAUGACUAUACUCAGGGCUUUGAUCAGAACUUCUCCUUAGUGAAACCUUGUCUCCAAAGUCAGACUCCAGCUUGCUAGGAUCUUUCAGGUGGCACCAGACUUCACCUAAACCAUUCCCUUUAGGGAGCUAAAGCUCAUGAUCGAUGGGGAAGAGCAAAAGCAUAGUUUUUCUGUGCAGCCAGAAACAACAUAAAGCAAGGAAUUCUGGUGCANNNNNNNNNNNNNNNNNNNNNNNNNNNNNNNNNNNNNNNNNNNNNNNNNNUUUGCACACCCAUGUACUUCAAAGAUGAGCAUUAAGCUCUGGAAGGCUGCAGAGCAAAGGGGUCACUCAGCACACCACUGCCUCUGGGGGAGAUGAAGCCAGCUUCCUAAGGGCACUGCAUGUUCCUUGGUACCCCACCCAUGGUCCUGCAGUCCCAGCUGACUUCUCUCCCUCAACUAUUGUGCAAUAAAAAGCAUUGGGGAUCUAUGAAAUCUAAGUGU